UAGCAAAAAUAACAGCUGUUAAUUAAGCUUUCUCUAGUCUAAGUGUCGUCUGGCAAUCAGCAAGGAUCAUGGUUUUAGUUACUUUGUAGAGCACUUCUGCAAGGCAGUCUGAAGGGGUCAGGAUACUCUUACGUGAGCACCACAACAUGCCCGGUAGGUCUAAUGCACCCCGCUCUUUUAACAAACGUUGUAUUUCUGCACAGGUCUGUCCAGGCAGUGAAUGGAGGUCCUGUAACCAUGCUUGUGGAUAGCCGUGUUUUUUUCUGCCCCCAUUCCUGGAUGACUGCUUUUCUUCCUGACUCCUAACAUGCAGCACUUACAUGUCCGUCUGACUAAGCCACAACUUCCAACAGCUUGGUAAUUCCCUGCCAGCUCUUACUGUGGCCAGUUUAUGUCCCUGCUGCCUGCCUUCCAAGAUAUAGCAGGCUCUGAGGUGCCAUCUGCCCCGUGUUCAGAGACUCCCACCCCCUUGACUCCAUGGCAGGGAGCAUGGGGUAAUAGCAUUCACAGACUGUCUGGUGGGAAAGGAUGGUCAACGUGCAAGCAAACCAAUUGUUGAAGUGCUCUCAUCACAGAUGGUCAGCAAGGGAGAAUUGCUUCCUCCCUUCUUUUGCCAAAAAGGAGCUGCCUCAAUGAUAGCAUGUGAAAGCAGGAGAGCUUUCCUUCUCUCCAGAUUCCAGAUGUUACAGGACAGACACAGACACAACCAAACAGCUGACAGUCAGCCAGCCAUCAUUCUAUCAUGCUUUUAGUGUUGAUUACAACCAUCGGCAACGCUGUGCCUGCCAGGGAGAUAACAUUCAAGUUGAAACUGGAUUUCUUGCUUGUGGUGGAGAAACCAAAGGCUUCAAAUACCAGACUUGCACACAAAAGGUGCAGGGCACUGCAGGUGCUGUGACUGUUAAAAAAUGAAGAAGCAUCUCAAAAAGUACACUUUGCACCCCUGCCAUGAGAAGGAGUCCUUUAGACCACGCUCAGUUAAACCAGUGCCACUGGACCUCUGAUGCAACGCAAUGGUGAAGACUUCAAAGUUGCAGGCCAGGUCUCAUUCGCACCUACACCUCGGUGCCUCGGGGGACGUGUGAUCUUGUUCGGCUGAAGUGCACAGGUAUGCCUUUACUUGCUUCCCUCAUUCUGUGCUGUUCACUUCGAGCUGAAACGCCUGGCUGUCUGAAAUACAGGUAAGACGUCUCCACUAUUUAAUUUUCCUGCUAAGCGUGGAACUGAAGUAUUGUUGGGGUUUUGCUGGUCCUUGUUUAUCUGUUAAAGUGAGCCGUGUAUAAGGAGUAUCAUUGGUAUGAAGCGUGACUGGGACAUGUAACUACCAAGAUGGGUAGAUUACUCCUGCUGUGGAUACCUGUGUUUUACUGCAGUGCUGUCACAAUGGUUGCAUUUAAGGUCAUCUCUGAGUUUGUUCAUUAUUUUCACAGACUAUUAAAUUUGAAGUCCAUCUUGGCAGGACAUUUUCUUUGUUUUGCCUGAUACUGGCUUGGCUGCCAGUUCUCUCUGUAGACAGGGGAAAACGUGCAGCUGUAUGA